rnacentral:rRNA from 1 species
UAGGGAAUCUUCGGCAAUGGACGAAAGUCUGACCGAGCAACGCCGCGUGAGUGAAGAAGGUUUUCGGAUCGUAAAACUCUGUUGUUAGAGAAGAACAAGGACGUUAGUAACUGAACGUCCCCUGACGGUAUCUAACCAGAAAGCCACGGCUAACUACGUGCCAGCAGCCGCGGUAAUACGUAGGUGGCAAGCGUUGUCCGGAUUUAUUGGGCGUAAAGCGAGCGCAGGCGGUUUCUUAAGUCUGAUGUGAAAGCCCCCGGCUCAACCGGGGAGGGUCAUUGGAAGCUGGGAGACUUGAGUGCAGAAGAGGAGAGUGGAAUUCCAUGUGUAGCGGUGAAAUGCGUAGAUAUAUGGAGGAACACCAGUGGCGAAGGCGGCUCUCUGGUCUGUAACUGACGCUGAGGCACGAAAGCGUGGGGAGCAAACAGG